rnacentral:tRNA from 1 species
AGGUGAGUUGAGCAGUAAGAAAGCCGGUGCAGUGAUGUGCCGGCUGCCGACAAUAGUUGAACCCCUUGACUGGGGGUCAAGGGGUCGCAGGUUCAAAUCCUGUCGUCC